CACGUAUGAGGCGAGCGUUGUUCGGAAUUAUUGGGCGUAAAGCGCGUGUAGGCGGGGGAUUAAGUUAGAUGUGAAAUCCAUGGGCUCAACCCAUGAAUUGCACCUAAUACUGAUUCUCUUGAGUUCGGGAGAGGAGAGCGGAAUUUCCGGUGUAGCGGUGAAAUGCGUAGAUAUCGGAAAGAACACCAGUGGCGAAGGCGGCUCUCUGGCCUAGAACUGACGCUGAGACGCGAAAGCGUGGGGAGCGAACGGG
rnacentral:rRNA from 1 species